rnacentral:ncRNA from 1 species
ACCUUUCCCUAGUACGAGAGGACCGGGAAGGACGCACCUCUAGUGUACCAGUUAUCGUGCCUACAGUAAAUGCUGGGUAGCCAAGUGCGGAGUGGAUAACUGUUGAAAGCAUCUAAAAUAAAUAUAA